AGUGAACGCUGGCGGUAGGCCUAACACAUGCAAGUCGAACGGCAGCACAGUAAGAGCUUGCUCUUACGGGUGGCGAGUGGCGGACGGGUGAGGAAUACAUCGGAAUCUACUUUUUCGUGGGGGAUAACGUAGGGAAACUUACGCUAAUACCGCAUACGACCUACGGGUGAAAGCAGGGGAUCUUCGGACCUUGCGCGAUUGAAUGAGCCGAUGUCGGAUUAGCUAGUUGGCGGGGUAAAGGCCCACCAAGGCGACGAUCCGUAGCUGGUCUGAGAGGAUGAUCAGCCACACUGGAACUGAGACACGGUCCAGACUCCUACGGGGGGCAGCAGUGGGGAAUAUUGGACAAUGGGCGCAAGCCUGAUCCAGCCAUACCGCGUGGGUGAAGAAGGCCUUCGGGUUGUAAAGCACUUUUGUUGGGAAAGAAAAGCAGCAGGUUAAUACCCCGCUGUUCUGACGGUACCCAAAGAAUAAGCACCGGCUAACUUCG
rnacentral:rRNA from 1 species